GUAGAGCUAGGGAUGAGCAAAAGGACCGAACCGGCCGGAACCGGCCCGAAUCGGACCGGACCGGGGAGCCGGCUUUGGCAAAAAUCAAGAACCGAACCGGCCCGGCGGUUCUACCGGUUCCCGGUUCCUACCGGUUCUUGUCGUGUCUUCAAAUGUUGGAACCACUCCUUGAAAAAUAGCAUCAUACGGUUCCGGUUUUUGCCGGUUCUACCGUUUUUUGCCAGCUCUACCGGUUUCGGUUAAAUCGGUUCCGGUUCCUACCGGUUCCCGGUUCCAAAACUCCACAAAAAUAAUGUCCCGGUCCCGGCCCGACCGGUUCCAUCGGGUUCCGGUUCCGGUGCCGGUUCCGGUUCCGGUACCGGUUCCGGCCGGUUCCCCGGUCCAUAUGCUCAUCCCCAGGUAGAGCAUAUUAAGGACAAAAAAUGCUUCUUGCCCCCUUAUUUUUAGAAGAAUAGUAUUUUUAGUUUCGGCCUCUUUCAAAUUAAUUGCUCAAUUCUGUACCUAAUUACAACAAUAACCUUAAAGAUAAGGCAAAUUCGUCGAACAUUCCAUGGUCAAGACACGGGUUGCAUGUUUUUUUGGGAGAUACUGGUGAUCAAGGUUCUAAAAAGCUCGUCAUGGCUCCAAGGCUUGUAUCUGCCGCCAAGCUUUACCAAAACACCGUCUUAACUCAUAUAUGUGUAUAAAAUAAAAUAAUAGUUGAAAAUACAUAUAAAAAUAUUAAUUAUUUAAAAAAUUAUCGCCUUAAGUUACGCCUUACAAAUGACGUGGCUCGCCAAGGCUCGAAAAAGCUUGAGGCUUGACAUUGCCGCCAAGUCACGCCUUACGUUAUUUAGAACCAUACUGAUGAUAACGUCAAGUUGCCAUACCUUCAAUGCAAGCAAAUAAAAUCGGCUGUUAAAUAAUUAGCGUAGCGGCUUCUAAAACCAUUGAGGAAGCAUGAAAUGUUGUCGCUUUGUAUCUUUCCAUGCCAUUUAAUUUUCAAAGAAAAAAAUUGUGCACGCAUGCAACACGUGACUUUUCAUUUUAUUUUAUUUAUUUUGUGCUUUUUUCUACAUAAAUUUUGUAUACAUAAAUGUUAUUUCUAAAAAUAUUUAUUUUAAAAAAUAUAUAUUAUGUUUUAUUUUAUUUUAUUUUAUAUUCUUUAAUUUAAUGAAAUAAAAAUCAAUGAUAAUCCGUUGUAAAAGAUAGAAUUUCAAUGUAACCUAGGUUAGAAAUAAAUUGAUGCACAACUGAUAUGCCAUUGAAUUUAAACAAGAAUAACAAAACUUCAUAUCUCAUUAUGUAAUACAAAAAAUUAUAAAGGCACUGCAAAAUUAUAAAUUUCCAUUUCAUGCAAAAAUAAGAAUAGACCGUAUAACCUUUAUUCUUUUCUUUUUUGUUAAGAGAAUACGGCAUCACCUAUUAACGGCAUGGAGCUGCUUAUGUGACACCUCCGUAAGUCACUCAUAUCACAAAACCAUUUCCUUCUUUUCUCUUUCUCUCUUUCCCUUUCUAUAAGAUCAGGAAAACCAUUUCCCCCUUUCUCUUUCUCUUUCUCUUUGCCUAACAAGUUAACAUGUCAUAUCAUGAGAAAGACCAUUUCUCCUUCGAGUUAGGUUGGAGGGAGUAGCUUGGCACCCUCGCUAAACAGUUGCUAAAACAUGGUCUUGUUGGUUGCUUAGCGAGAGAAAAGAGAAGAAAUAAGGAUUGUUUGAUAGUUUUUGAUUGAAAACAUUAACUAGAAAAUGUUUGUCUAAGUAAUAAAGUCUGACUGAAAAAAAAAAAAAA
rnacentral:lncRNA from 1 species